rnacentral:lncRNA from 1 species
GGCAACUUUAGAAGGCUUGCAAGGGUAUUGAUGAUUAAUGGGUGUAAGGUGGCUGAAAAGAAAAUAUGCGAUCCUAAAUGUGGCGAUGGGUUUGUUUUUGGUCAAAAAGCACUUUGAAGAUCGGGAAAAACUAUGAACACUUUCAAGCAACUUCUUUCUCUUUUUUUUUUUACUUUCAAUUUUUUUACUACAAAUAUGUUGAAUGUAUACUUUUUUUUGUUCACGAUUUUUUUGAAUUUUUUUUCAAAUUGUUUUUUGAAUUUUUUUCGUCAAAUACUUAAUCUGGCACUUCACAAACAUCUGUAAUUCUUGUUUUAAC